rnacentral:RNase_P_RNA from 1 species
GGGGCGGAUCAGAUGGCUGCCGGACGCCGCGCGCGUCCGGAGGAAAGUCCGGCCACCACAAGGCAGGAAUGCGGGUAACGCCCGCCGGAGGCGACUCCAGGGGCAGGCAACAGAGAACAGACCGCCGCGGUCCGCCGCGGCAAGGGUGAAACGGCGGGGUAAGAGCCCACCGCGUUUGCGGCAACGCAAACGGCACGGCGACUGUCCUUCCGGUGCAAGCGCAAAUAGGGGGCGAGACGGGCUUCGGCCCGGCGCGGGACCGCCUGUUCCGCCACAAGCCCCGGGUAGCGUGCUCGAGGCGGACGGCGACGUCCGUCCCAGACAAAUAGCCAUCCGCGACAGAAGCCGGCUUAUCGAUCCGCCCCGCUU